GUGAUAAACUAUGCCAAAGAAUUAAAUGUACAGCUUUUGAGGCAGAUAUGUUGCACUCAUUUCUGCCCAACACAAUAUGUUAUGCACAAUACCACGACGUGACCAAAUGAGUGUGUCAGGUAGCAUACUAGCAUGUACAAGAAGAAAAUAAGAGCAAAAGAAUCAAGAAGAACAAGAAUGAAUAAUGAUUUCAAGCAUUAAAAAAUUGAGACUGGCAACAAGUGAUACACUUUCUAAGCAACAAAUCUAGAUGUUUCUUCAAAGUUAAUGUCAGCAGAAAGGAAGUGUGGAAUAAAAAAGAUUGCUAACAGGAUUACCUCAAUUGGAAUUCCACUGCG
rnacentral:misc_RNA from 1 species